GUUUCCUUAUAGAAUUUUUAUUUUCUUGUAGAGAUUUCCCUUUUUGGGUGUAAAAUUAUUAUUGGUUUAUUAUAAUACCUACAUAAAAAUCAAGUUAAUCAAAUGGAAAUACCUACCUACAAGAAAUUGGCGGGGAAACGUGUUAACAAUAUGGGAAUAAACCAAACCCAUUUGAGGAUAACCAAGAAACUGUAAAAGAUUAUUUCCAAGAACAUGAUAUGGAAAUUAUUGAGGCCCUAAAUGAACAAUCAUCUCACUAAGAAAUUAACAUGGAUCCACAUGCUGAAGGAAAAA
rnacentral:lncRNA from 1 species